UACUUAAAAAAAGUUUAUAGAUUGAAUGAAAUUAAAAUUUUGAAAUAAAAAAUUAAAAUUUAGAAAUAAAAAAUCUUAUGAAAACUACUGUUAUAUCAGUUUGGUUUUCUCCUCAAUUAAAGUUUACAAAUAACAAAUAAAACAAAUUAAAAUUGAAACAAAUCAAAUCCAAAAAAAAAAAAUUGAUACAAAUCUAAAAAAACAAAAUCUAAAAUUUAACAAAAACAAAUCAAUCAUAUUGUGGUGGAGAAAACCAUCUAAAUCCCACUAACAACUCCUAAAAGGUAGGGAUUAUUAACUAAAACAUAGAAACAAAUCCUAAUAAAUAU
rnacentral:lncRNA from 1 species